CGCGGGGUGGAGCAGCCUGGUAGCUCGUCGGGCUCAUAACCCGAAGGUCGUCGGUUCAAAUCCGGC
rnacentral:tRNA from 1 species